GUAAGGAAUAUUGGUCAAUGGACGCAAGUCUGAACCAGCCAUGCCGCGUGAAGGAUGAAGGUCCUCAGGAUUGUAAACUUCUUUUAUCUGGGACGAAAAAAGGCCAUUCUUGGUCGACUGACGGUACCAGAGGAAUAAGCACCGGCUAACUCCGUGCCAGCAGCCGCGGUAAUACGGAGGGUGCAAGCGUUAUCCGGAUUCACUGGGUUUAAAGGGUGCGUAGGCGGGUAGGUAAGUCAGUGGUGAAAUCUUCGAGCUCAACUCGGAAAUUGCCGUUGAUACUAUUUAUCUUGAAUAUCGUUGAGGUUUGCGGAAUAUGUCAUGUAGCGGUGAAAUGCUUAGAGAUGACAUAGAACACCUAUUGCGAAGGCAGCAGGCUAAACGAACAUUGACGCUGAGGCACGAAAGCGUGGGGAUCAAACAGG
rnacentral:rRNA from 1 species